GAUGAAUGCUGGCGGCGUGCCUAACACAUGCAAGUCGAGCGGCAGCGAGGGGUGCUUGCACCCUGUCGGCGAGCGGCGGACGGCUGAGUAACGCGUGGGAAUCUACCCUAAAGUGAGGGAUAACCGCCCGAAAGGGUGGCUAAUACCGCAUAUGAUCUUCGGAUUAAAGGAUUUAUCCGCUUUAGGAAGAGCCCGCGUUAGAUUAGGUAGUUGGUAGGGUAAUGGCCUACCAAGCCAACGAUCUAUAGCUGGUCUGAGAGGAUGAUCAGCCAGACUGGAACUGAGACACGGUCCAGACUCCUACGGGAGGCAGCAGUGAGGAAUCUUCCACAAUGGGCGAAAGCCUGAUGGAGCAACGCCGCGUGAAGGAUGAAGGCCUUCGGGUUGUAAACUUCUUUUAUGAGUGAAGAAUAUGACGGUAACUCAUGAAUAAGCACCGGCUAACUACGUGCCAGCAGCCGCGGUCAUACGUAGGGUGCCAAGCAUUAUCCGGAGUGACUGGGCGUAAAGAGUUGCGUAGGCGGUUUAAUAAGUGAAUAGUGAAACCUGGUGGCUCAACCAUACAGACUAUUAUUCAAACUGUUAAACUCGAGAGUAGUAGAGGUAACUGGAAUUUCUAGUGUAGGAGUGAAAUCCGUAGAUAUUAGAAGGAACACCAAUGGCGUAGGCAGGUUACUGGACUAUUUCUGACGCUAAGGCACGAAAGCGUGGGGAGCGAACUGGAUUAGAUACCCAGGUAGUCCACGCCGUAAACGAUGGAUACUAGCUGUUGGAGGUAUCGACCCCUUCAGUAGCGAAGCUAACGCGUUAAGUAUCCCGCCUGUGGAGUACGGCCGCAAGGCUAAAACAUAAAGGAAUUGACGGGGACCCGCACAAGCGGUGGAUCAUGUUCUUUAAUUCGAUGAUAAACGAAGAACCUUACCAGGGUUUGACAUCCCGAGAAGAUUUACGAAAGUAGAUUGUGCCUUUUGGAACUCGGUGACAGAUGAUGCAUGGCCGUCGUCAGCUCGUGUCGUGAGAUGUUUGGUUAAGUCCAUCAACGAGCGCAACCCUUGUGAAUAGUUGAAUUUUUCUAUUCAGACUGCCCCGGCAACGGGGAGGAAGGAGGGGAUGAUGUCAGGUCAGUAUUUCUCUUACAUCCUGGGCUAGAAACGUGAUACAAUGGCAAGUACAAUGCGCAGCGAAGCCGCGAGGUGAAGCAAAUCGCACCAAAGCUUGUCCCAGUUCGGAUUGGAGGCUGAAACUCGCCUCCAUGAAGUCGGAAUCGCUAGUAAUCGCAGGUCAGCAAACUGCGGUGAAUACGUUCCCGGGUCU
rnacentral:rRNA from 1 species